rnacentral:rRNA from 1 species
GACGAACGCUGGCGGCGUGCUUAACACAUGCAAGUCGAACGAAGAGCGAUGGAAGCUUGCUUCUAUCAAUCUUAGUGGCGCACGGGUGAGUAACGCGUAAUCAACCUGCCCUUCAGAGGGGGACAACAGUUGGAAACGACUGCUAAUACCGCAUACGAUCUGACCUCGGCAUCGAGGAUAGAUGAAAGGUGGCCUCUAUUUAUAAGCUAUCACUGAAGGAGGGGAUUGCGUCUGAUUAGCUAGUUGGAGGGGUAACGGCCCACCAAGGCGAUGAUCCGUAGCCGGUCGGAGAGGAGGAACGGCCACAGUGGGACUGAGACAAGGCCCAGACCCCUACGGGAGGCAGCAGUGGGGAAUCUUCCGCAAUGGACGAAAGUCUGACGGAGCAACGCCGCGUGAGUGAUGACGGCCUUCGGGUUGUAAAGCUCUGUUAAUCGGGACGAAAGGCCUUCUUGCGAAUAGUUAGAAGGAUUGACGGUACCGGAAUAGAAAGCCACGGCUAACUACGUG